rnacentral:rRNA from 1 species
UACGGAGGGAGCUAGCGUUGUUCGGAAUUACUGGGCGUAAAGCGCACGUAGGCGGCUUUGUAAGUUAGAGGUGAAAGCCCGGAGCUCAACUCCGGAACUGCCUUUAAGACUGCAUCGCUUGAAUCCAGGAGAGGUGAGUGGAAUUCCGAGUGUAGAGGUGAAAUUCGUAGAUAUUCGGAAGAACACCAGUGGCGAAGGCGGCUCACUGGACUGGUAUUGACGCUGAGGUGCGGAAGCGUGGGGAGCAAACAGG